GGUGCAUCCACCGCUGAGAGGCACCUGCUGGGAGGUGACAUUCCACCGUCCCCUCAGGUUCAGCCAAGGUCUCUCCAACAUCUGUCUGCAUGGAGUAGAGGAAGAACAACUUUGCAGACACCGAAGUCAGUGCAGAAGGAUGGGGGAGGUGCUCCAUGCUCAGGGCAGAGAUUCUCCUGCAGCCCACAGUGCAGACCAUGGUGCUGCUGGUUGCACUGGGGUUUUUUUCCCCAUUCUUGCAAGUUGAGACCCUGCAAAGUUACUGGAAGGCAUCCCUGUGUGAGGAAAUUGGAGAGUGAUAAUAAGGGUUGCCAGCAAGAGAUGUGAAGGCAUUAAAUGCUGCUGUUUACACGGCUGGUGCUUUGGAUCCAAUUUGAAGAGUUAGAAGAAAGGGGAAGGAAGUGGAUUCUCAAGAAC